AGGAUGAACGCUGGCGGCGUGCUUAACACAUGCAAGUCGAACGAUGAAACAGAGCUUGCUCUGUGGAUUAGUGGCGAACGGGUGAGUAACACGUGAGUAACCUGCCCCAGACUCUGGGAUAAGCACUGGAAACGGUGUCUAAUACCGGAUACGAGCUUCAGCCGCAUGGCUAGGAGUUGGAAAGAAUUUCGGUCUGGGAUGGACUCGCGGCCUAUCAGCUAGUUGGUGAGGUAAUGGCCCACCAAGGCGACGACGGGUAGCCGGCCUGAGAGGGUGACCGGCCACACUGGGACUGAGACACGGCCCAGACUCCUACGGGAGGCAGCAGUGGGAAAUAUUGCACAAUGGGCGCAAGCCUGAUGCAGCAACGCCGCGUGAGGGACGACGGCCUUCGGGUUGUAAACCGUCUUUUACGUAGGGUAAGAAGCGAUGUGUUUUACACGGAGUGACGGUACCUGCAGAAAAGCACCGGCUAACUACGCGCCAGCAGCCGCGGUAAC
rnacentral:rRNA from 1 species